AUACUUACCUGGCAGGGAAGAUACCAUGAUCACGAAGGUGGUUUUCCCAGGGCGAGGCUUUUCCAUUGCACUCCAGAUGUGCUGACCCUUGCGAUUUCCCCAAAUGUGGGAAACUCAACUGCAUAAUUUGUGGUAGUGGGGAACUGCUUUAGAGCUCUCCUCUG
ensembl:snRNA Gm23330 predicted gene, 23330